GACGUAGGGCGCGAGCGUUGUCCGGAUUUAUUGGGCGUAAAGAGCGUGUAGGCGGCUUUACAGGUCCGUUGUGAAAACUCGAGGCUCAACCUCGAGAGGUCGGUGGAAACCGUUUGGCUAGAGUCCGGAAGAGGAGAGUGGAAUUCCCGGUGUAGCGGGUGAAAUGACGCAGAUAUCGGGAAGAACACCCGUGGCGAAGGCGGCUCUCUGGGACGGUACUGACGCUGAGACGCGAAAAGCGUGGGGGAGCGAACGAGGA
rnacentral:rRNA from 1 species